rnacentral:lncRNA from 1 species
CCGGUGACCCGGCCAACUAACCAAGAUGGCCACCAUGGCUAAAAAUAGAACAUAGGGGUAAAAUGCAGUUUUUGGCUUAUCACUCAAAAACCAAAGCAUUUAGAGCAAAUCUGACAUCGGGUAAAAUUGUUUAUCAGGUCAAGAUCUAUCUGCCCUGAAAUUUUGAGAUGAAUUGGACAACCCGUUGAUAGGUUGCUGCCCCUGAAUUGGUAAUUUUAAGGACAUUUUGCUGUUUUUGGUUAUUAUCUUGAAUAUUAUUAUAGAUAGAGAUAAACUGUAAACAGCAAAAAUGUUCAGCAAAGUAAGAUCUACAAAUAAGUCAAACAAGACCAAAAUGGUCUGUUGAUUUCUUUAGGAGUUAUUGCCCUUUAUAGUCAAUUUUUAACCAUUUUUCGUAAAUCUUAGUUAUCUUUUACAAAAAUCUUCUCCUCUGAAACUACUGGGCAAAAUUAAACCAAACUUGGCCACAAUCAUCAUUGGGGUAUCUAGUUUAAAAAUUGUGUCCCGUGACCUGGCCAACCAACCAAGAUGGCCGCCAUGGCUAAAAAUAGAACAUAGUGGUGAAAUGUAGAUUUUGGCUUAUAACUCUGAAACCGCAGCCUUUAGAGCAAAUCUGACAGGGGUAAAAUUGUUUAUCAGGUCAAGAUCUAUCUGCCCUGAAAUUGUCAGAUGAAUCUGACAACCUGUUGUUGGGUUGCUGCCCCUGAAUUGGUAAUUUUAAGGAAAUUUUGCUGUUUUUUGUUAUUAUCUUGAAUAUUAUUAUAGAUAGAGAUAAACUGUACACAUCAAUAAUGUUAAGCAAAGUAAGAUUUACAAAUAAGUCAACAUGACGGAAAUGGUCAAUUGACCCCUAAGGAGUUAUUGUCCUUUAUAGUCAAUUUUUAACAAUUUUCAUAAAAUUUGUAAAUUUUAACUAACAUUUUCCACUGAAACUACUGGGCCAAGUUCAUUAUAGAUAGAGAUAAUUGUAAGCAGCAAGAAUGUUCAGUAAAGUAAGAUGUACAAACACAUCACCAUCACCAAAACACAAUUUUGUCAUGAAUCCAUCUGCUUCCUUUGUUUAAUAUUCACAUAGACCAAGGUGAGCGACACAGGCUCUUUAGAGCCUCUAGUUAUAGAUAGAGAUAAACUGUAAACAGCAAUAAUGUUCAGCAAAGUAAGAUUUACAAAUAAGUCAACAUGACCGAAAUGGUCAAUUGACCCCUAAGGAGUUAUUGUCCUUUAUCAUGUUUAUAGUCAAUUUUUAACAAUUUUCAUAAAAUUUGUAAAUUUUUAUUAACAUUUUCCGCUGAAACUACUGGGCCAAGUUCAUUAUAGAUAGAGAUAAUUGUAAGCAGCAAGACUGUUUAGUAAAGUAAGAUGUACAAACACAUCACCAUCACCAAAACACAAUUUUGUCAUGAAUCCAUCUGCUUCCUUUGUUAAAUAUUCAUAUAGAC